GUCGCUUCUUCUUCCUCUGAGCUGCUCUCCACAUCACUGCGAUCGUCCUUCGACACCUGUGUGGGACGGGGCCAGAAGUACGAAAGAAACAGUUCAGUCUUGGUUCUCCUUGAUGGCAUCUCUGGAAGAAGCCAAGAAGUGCAAGUAAUCUUCUUUCAUACGACAGAGAUAGCCCUCAUAUACAGCUGCCAAGGUGGAGAGUACCCAGAUCUAAGUUAUUCCUAAGAGGGAAAAGUGGUUUGUACUCCCACUCCAGGAAUACUUAAUACGAUGCCUAUACUUAAAAAACUGUAACACUAAGGUCCCAAAGGCCCAGAAAAGGCAUUUAGAUCUUUCAGUUUCAUUUGCUUCAGUUAAAAGCAUCUUGAUUUUUGUACCUGAACGUCUGACAGAGAGCACUUUAAUAACAAUACACAAACACUAUGAACAAAUGGAUGAAUG